CACUGCAGAGGGUGUGCUUGAGCUCAGCCCUUGCACAUAAAGGGGGACCAUUCCCAGGUUGGAUUCCAAGAGGGAAAUAAAGACUUCCAGCAAGAGGGAUCUGCUCUGUGCCUGAUGCCACCGCUCAGCUCACUCGGCAAAGCAAGCCCUCCACCAAGCUCCCUCCCACCCAGCCCCACCGAGACUGCAUCUGCCUGCCCAGACUUAAUGGGAGCAGCCGAGUUCUGCUGGCUUCAGCUUCCCAGGCACUGCCUAAUUGCAGGGCAACACCAUGUGCCACGGAGCAGUUUUGUUUGUCAACCUGAAGGGUUUUGUGUCAGCUCCAUAAAACGCAGGCAAAGUGCAUCCAGCACAGCGUGGUACGGUGUGCAGCGCAGCGAUGUCACCUGCACCUGGACACCUCUGGGACCCGUUACCCUUGCUGAGGGUGGGAUAAAAAGUGCAUCCAACGCAGUUGCCUUGGUGUCACUCCACAGCAUUUCUGUCCUUGGCCCUUUGAAUGUGGAACGACUUUCCCACAGGUGGCUACUAUGUUCUAAUACUCAAAGAAACAGGAUGCAUUGUAUGUAUGUGAGCCUUCCGAGACAGCUUAGCAGAAGCACGGCAGCGCUGCCGACAGGGAUAAUAGCACUGCUAAUCGUGUCUACAGAGGAGUCCAAACACUGAAACUGGAGUUAUGUGAGAUGGUACAUGUGCAAGAGAGGAUGGAAAAGACUUGUAGUGGAGAAGUUUCAAGUGGAGGAUUGAUGGCCUGUGAUCGUGAAGCCAAAUCACUCGCUAUACUUGCUUUGCACUACACGAUUUCCUGCUGUUGUUUCUAGUUACAGUAGAUAAUAAAAAAUGUUACAAAACCC